rnacentral:lncRNA from 1 species
GAACGAGGAGUUUCAAAUUUAAUCUGUUUUAGCGUUUGAUAGAGAAAAUUAAGAAUGUUAGUCCACUGAAUAGCCCAUCAAACCCAAUUUAGUACUUUAAAUCUUUGACAAUUUCGAUAAUUAAAAUUCGUCGUUAAAACCCAAUUUUUUUGGCCAAAUUGGUUUCGAGUUCCAUGAUUUAGGUUGAAAGCGUACAACGACUCAUCGAAGAUAGAAGAAACACAUCUUAGCUGGGGAAAUACAGUUUCUUCGAGUGAUGAGAUUGCAAAUUGAUGCUGAUCACAACAACAAAUAAAGACUCAUCAAUCGCCUUCUUGCUCUGCCCAGGUGUUCAGCUAAGUUCCAAAUCCAGUUCUUGUGAGAUUCACAUCCCCUCCUAGUAAAAUAAAAAAAAUGCCAAACCCGUUUCUUUGUUAAAUGUUGACUAUUUGACUACCCACUAUGGACUAUCGAGAGAGAAAUACAUGAAGCUUACGUAAAUACAUGAAGCUUACAUGAUUUAUUACUUGUGGCAUUCGCAUGCUAAUGUAAUCGUCCAAAUGGAUAUAGAAGAUUUGUCAAUGCUAGUGUACGUUGCAACAAAUCAGACGGGACGGCAUCAUCGGUGCGAUCUUACAUAGAUACAAUACACUACAGAGUACAGAAUAUUAAAUACAAUGGCCUUGUUCUUUUGGAGAUCGCCAGCGACCACAACCUGCGACAGAAAAUUGCCCUCUCUUUUCUCUUUUUAGUCGCUGGAACCUUCAAUCAUGAAUAUAUCUUAAACACAAAUAUACAAUGAGACAAUUUUUUUCUAGAGUAUAACUUAUUAAAAAUCUUUUUUUUUUGAAUGUUAAAAUCAAAGAAAAAUACCAAGUGUCGUUAGCUUAAUUGGUAAAGACCCUAGGCGAAGCUUAGAGGUCGCCGGUUCGAGUGACGUUUGGGAAACUAAUAUUACAUGAUGUGGUUUCGGGCUUAGGGGAGCUUACGGGCUUUGGUCCAGAACCUCCUGGUAUUCAAAAAAAAAAAAAAAUCAAAGAAAAAUUGUGUGUACAUCCAAAAAAGGAGAUUUACCAUAUACUUUUUCAAAUCAAAAAUAAAUUUUGAAACAGUUAUAUAUUAAUUAUUAUCAAAAUUGAAAAAUAAGAGAAAAAGAUUAGAUGGUGCCAACAAAUGAAAUUUACCUGAGUCAAGUACUCAUUCAGCAUUUGAAUAUAUAGCUUUGUGAUGCAUUCAGCAGGGUUUGUGUUGUUUUCUCUUAGAACACGUCUUGAAGAAUGGUCAAGUAAAACGUUAAUAUUUGGAUGACCAAAAAAGAAAACUUUUCCACCCGGUGAAAACACGAUGAUCGCAAUUUCGACAUCACAUAACUUGCAAAGCUCACUGGCUUUCUUAAAAAGACCAGAUCUUCUCUAUGAAAAUGUAACUUGAAGGUUUGAUUGAAAAUGUAAAAUGAAAAAUUAAUCAAACCUUCAAGUUACAUUUUCAAAGAGAAGAUCAGGUCUUUUUAAGAAAGCUAGUGAACUUUGCACGUUAUGUGAUGUCGAAACUGUGAUCAUCAUAUUUUCACAAGGUGGAAAUUUUUUCUCUUUUGGUCAUCCAAAUAUUAACGUUUUACUUGACCACUCUAGAGGACGUGUUCUAAGAGACAACAACACAAACCUUGCUGAAAGCAAUAUGAAGCUAUAUAUUCAAAUGCUAAAUGAGUCCUUGAUUGAGGUAAAUUUUAAUUGUUAGCAAAAUCUAAUCUUUUUUCUCUUAUUUUUCAAUUUUGAUAAUAAUUAAUAUAUAACUGUUUCAAAUUUUAUUUUUGAUUUGAAGAAGUAUAUGGGAAAUCUCCUUUUCGGGUUGUAUACAAAAAUUUUCUUUGAUUUUAACAUUCUACAGAAAGAUUUUUAAUAAGUUAUACACUAGAAAAAAAAUCGUCUCGUUGUAUAUAUGUGUUUAAGACAUAUUCAUGUAUUUUCUUUACACAUUCAUAUUCGUGAUUUUAAACCGUUUAAGAAAAACCAUAAUAGAUUUCACAAAGUCUUUAGUUUGCUAAUCAAGCUUCGGCCAAGAUAUAACUCUAUAGCAGUAUCAAUGGAGUUCGAUUUCAGGGAUAAAAAUCUGAUAAGAAUGAAGCUAUGGAUUAACCAAUAACCCUGACAAUGGAGAUUUGUUCAAGAGAUGUUCUAUAACUUUCCUCUAUCAAGCUCACCAUGUUUGCUGUCACAACCUACAAUAAAGUCCCCUCCCUCUCUAUUUAAAGACUCUCUUCAUAUCGAAUAUUAUAAUUAUGGACCUAACUUUUAGAUGGAGAAGAAGCUUUGCGGUUUUGUGUGACUCAAGUAAUCAACAAGUAAACAUGGUCACAAGAGUCACCUUAAAAAGAAACACUCAUUUGUGUUAUAUAGACAACCUUGGUUGACAACAUUCUUAACUCGGUUAAGUAACUAAUUUUCUCACAAUAAUAUAUACCUUUGUGAAGAAACAUUUCCUCCAAUUUAUUAAAAAAAAAAUCUUAAAAUUCGUUGAAGGUUCAACAGUUUUGAAAUCAACAUUUUAGACUUUUUUUAAAAAAAUUUGUUCCCAAGUUUGGUAUGCUUCAUAAAUUGGCAUUCAUGAUGUUGAAAAUCUCUCUUAUAAUGUUUUGGUUAGUAUCCUUGUGAAUAAAACUUUAUGUGACGUCUUUUGAUACAAACAAAAACUUUAAGAAUGCUCAUCUAUCUCUUUUCCCGGAUUAGUUCAUUUAUCAAAGAUGAUAAGUGAAAGGACAUUUAAGAUAAUGUCUCUGCAAUCAUCUCAAAGUUUCUGUUAAGAGAUACCAAGUUGAAAUAUUGCUUUGAGCCCAAGAAAAUAAUUAUCUUGUUUGUGAUCUAUACUGCUUCAAAACCUUUAAAUGCUAAGAUCAUGUAUUCGUUUUUGCUGAGUAGAAGUAGAGCAAUAGAACGUCACUGACCUUUAUUCCAUCAAAUACUUAUUUCCAUAAGCUAAACAUCUAUUGUGGAAACGCAAAGAGAGGUUUACUAUUCAAGUGCUUUGCAAGGUAAUCUUAAAUAAAAUUGACAAUCAAGGAAUUUCUUUUACAUAUAAAAUUUUGAGUUCAAAUGCAACCAUUUAGGGUACACCCAAAUUGUUGCAAACAAAAUUGAAUAUCUCGAUGUAAUGAGUUUUCAUAUAAUUGUUGUGCAAAAGAUGAGAAUAUGCUAUAAACUCAUUUUAAAAAAACUCUCAACUUUAUAAAAUUUAGAGUCUCUAAAGAUGAGUAACUAACAUUUUUUCUUAUCAUUUGCAUAAAAGUUAUGUGAAGCCUCAUCACAUCGAGAUACUCAACUUUCUAUGCAACAACUUGGCUGUUGAAAACCCGAAUGGAUGCACUAGCUCAAGCUCUUGUAUAUGAAAGGACGUUCUUGAUGAUCAACUUCAUCUAUUGUUACCUUGAAAAUAACCAGAAUAGUAAACAUAUAUUUGUGCUUCCAAAAUGGAUGUUUAACUUUUGGAAAAAAGAGUUUGAUGAAUAUGUCAUAAAUUUAAAUGUGUCAAUGACGUUCUGUUGCUUGACUUCUACUCAGCCAAGGCGAAUACCCGACCUUAGCAAUUAGAGAUUUUAAAACUGUAGAUCACAAUCUAGGGUAUUAUUUUCUUGGGGGCAAAGCAAUUUUCCAACAUGGUAUUUGAUUAAAAUGUUACAUAAGUAUGAGAUGAUUGUAGGGACAUUCUCUUAAAUGUUCCUUCACUCGUUAUCUUUGACAAAGGAACUGAUCCAAGGAAGAAAUGAUGAUCAUUCUUAAGAUUGUUGCUUGUAUCAAGACGCCACAAAAUUUUUUACUCACUAGGAAACUAUACCAAAAAAAGUAAGAGAGUUUCUUAUUUAACACUAUUGAUGUUGUUUUCCCUGAGUUUCUGCAGCAUUUCCUAGCUGGGAUAAACAUCAGAAAAUUCUUGAACGUUGAUGCCGACGCUGUUGGACCUUCAACGAAUUUGAAGAUGACCUUGUUUGAAAAAUUGGAAGAAGGUUUUCUUUGCCAAGGUUCUAAUCAUGGGGACAAGAUUGGUUACUUAACCGAACUAAGAAUGUUAACUUACAAGUUUAUCGAUAAUCAUAAAGGAAAGUUUCUUCUUGAAGUCUAGGGAUUGAUGGACUUAACAGUGGUCUUAAAACCAACAUUAAACCAAAGGUCAACAUGUGAGAUUGAAAUAAUCUAGAGAGGAAAGAGUUUCAUAAACCUAGUCUAACUUGAAGAAAAUAACGCUUCACCAGCCGCUAUGUGCUUUUUCAACCUGGGUAAAACCUAGUCUAAUUCGAGCUUGACCAGAAUCAAGCUUCAAUAAAAUUUAUUUUAUGAAAUAUUGUUACUAUCUUGUGAAAAUUUUGAUUUUCUAUAUAUUUUAUAUAUUUAUAUUUGGAACAGAUCAAAUAUUUUAUCGAAUAUCCGAAUAUCUUACCGGACAUCAAAUAUCUAGUAAUUGGCAAAAUGAUACGGAUCAGAAAAGUCAAUAUCCGUAUGGAAAGGAUCAAAAAUAGCAUUUAAAUCUUGAAUAUCCAAUCUGCGUCCACCCUUAAUAUAUAUCUAAAGCUUAUAUACAAUAAUUGAAAAUAUUGGCAAUUAGAAGAAAAGAAGACUAACAAUUUCUUUUGAUAUGUAAAAUUUAAGACUCAACCUUUAUGGUAGAAGGAAAAAAAAAAAACAUUUUACCAAAAAAUACACUAUUUUAAAAAGACAAGAAAAUAUAAAAAAUUUAAGUUGAUUGAUAAGUUGCAUCAAUUUUCUGGUGAUUGUUUUGGAGCAAUUGUUUUCCAAAGUAGUGAAUAUGAAAUAUAAUUAAUUUACAAUUUGUUAGCUUAAUCGAUUUAUCUAAUUAAAAAGCCUAUAAUUGUUCAUGCACUUAUUGAAAACAACCCAGUUAAAAAAAAAUCAACAAUAUUAAGACUAACCUUUAGUGUAUGACAUCAUUGUUACCCCGCAUAUACGAAGAUAUAAGGUAGUAAUCAUCGCACCAUUUUUGUUGACCUCGGCUAUGUUUUCCGUCAAAGAAACUAUCUCUUUAGCAACGGUAUUGCAAUAUUCCUUUUCAAGAGUAGUCGUCACAAACACAAAUUUGUAGAAUAGUUUUUGCUCUCGACUAAUACGCCAUAUCAAUUUUUUUUUUGAGCACUGCGACCCUUAAUGCACCGAUGAAAGAACUCUUCAAUAGAAGUUUUGACGGAGAAAACAAAGACUUGUUUUUAGUUCUUAUCUAUAUCGUAUACGAUGUAUUUAUAUA